GAUGAAGAACGCAGCGAAAUGCGAUAAGUAAUGUGAAUUGCGGAAUUCAGUGAAUCAUCGAAUCUUUGAACGCACAUUGCGCCCCCUGGUAUUCCGGGGGGCAUGCCUGUUCGAGCGUCAUUUCACCACUCAAGCCUCGCUUGGUAUUGGGCAACGCGGUCCGCCGCGUGCCUCAAAUCGACCGGCUGGGUCUUCUGUCCCCAAAGCGUUGUGGAAACUAUUCGCUAAAGGGUGUUCGGGAGGCUACGCCGUAAAACAACCCCAUUUCUAAGGUUGACCUCGGAUCAGGUAGGGAUACCCGCUGAACUUAAGCAUAUCAAUAAGCGGAGGA
rnacentral:misc_RNA from 1 species